CCUUCUGGAGAGGUUUUUGGGGAUUCUUGAGAAAGGAGUAAGGACUGAGGCUGAGGAAACAGAAGGGAUGGGUGUGGCCUGGGGCUUGCCUGAAAGGAUGAGGUCAGCCUGCAUGUCUCCAAGACAGGCUCCUGGUUUACCCCAGAGGCCACCUGGGGACGAUUCAGCCUCCAAGUUCAGUCUUUUCAUUUUACCUCUGCCAGCAUUUGGGGGUCUGUGUGUGAGGUACAGAAGUUCCAGGUGAUAGAAACCAAAGAGAGAAACACCUGUGUCCGCUAUUCCUUAACUGAGAGACAGAGCUUGGAUUCUGGUCCCUCUUCAACCGGCUGCUGACCUGGUACACACUUGUCUCCCUGAACCAGAGUUUGCUCAUCUGUGAAGUGAAGGGGCGGGGCUGACUCAUCUCUACAGUGUUUUUCCAUUUUGAGGUCUUUGGGUCUAUGGUUACUUCCUUUUCCUCAUCAACAGCCAGCCCCUAUCAGAAGUAUGUUUACUUGAAAGUUUUGAAGUUGGCAUAAAAUUGGAGCUUCACUAUGUCAGGCUUUCCUGGUUGCGGCAGACAAAAACCACAGAUACAUCCAAGACACCAAAUGAUGCUCAGAUUCAGGGCCACGGCUGGUGUAACCAGCACCUUGGUUAGUGUGAGAAGAAAAAGCACCUUCUCUGGGUGGACUCAGCUGCAAGUCAGGUGGGUCCAUGUUCUAGAAGGUGGCAUACCAGCUGUUUUCAGCCCAGUGAGCUCUCAGGAGUCCUUGUGCAGUGCACAACCUGUACGAGCAUCCGCAAAGUGCUCACUUCUUUGGGCUCUGACCACUGAAGGUAAGGAGUAAAAAGUGGCCAGAACAGAUGCAUGCCAUUGAUAUGACAGAAGGAGACUUUUAUAAUUACUGCCUUAAAAUAUUUUGUACAGUUAAAAAGCUGUAAGUCUGGGCCUAAGAUGCUGCCCAGAUCCUACACUCACACAGUCCAUCUGAUUUGGAAGCAUCAAGGGGCAAGAUUCGUAAUAAUAAUAAAAUUCCUUCAUUUUUAUAGAACCUUACAAUUUAGUAGCACAUUAAAUGUACUUGCCUUUUCGAUUUGCUUCUGAUUCUAACCAUUGCCCUGAUGAGUAAUAAUUAUCCUCAUUUUAAAUGUAAAGGAAAUGAAGCUGAGAGAUUCAAAGACUUGCUCAAGGUCAGCUAAUAAGUGGUGAAGGCAAGAACUGAACCCACGUCUGUCUAGCUCCAAGUUCAAGAUUUUUCUCUUCCACACCAGGUCCCAUAAGAUCCUGAUUUGGGCAGUGGCAGCCAGACCUAUAGAACUAUUCUUUGAGGGUUUAGAAUUAGUCUGAGAAAGCCAUCCUUCUUGUAUUAACUAUAGAAGGGCUCUCCAUGCAGCUGUAGUAGCGAGGCUUAGAAUACAAGUUCUGGAGAGGUCUUGGCAGAUCUUACAGUCAAGUCAAAGUAUUCAUUUCUCACAUGGGGAAAUGAUUCCUGGAGAUUCGCUUGUUUGGUUAAAUGCACCUGUACAACUAUGUGCCAUUAACCCAGGACUCUCUCCAACAUUUUAGAUUUCACUCUGCAAGGCAUCCUAGGAAAGCCUUGGGAGUCUAGAGAGAGUCACCUGGAUGUCACCAUAUAAUACAAACAUAAUAUCUGUAGGCCACUACGGACGAAUCCAAGACUCUUCAGUGUCAUGGUGGUCUUCCCGACUGUGAGCACAGGCCUUUUAGCAGUGUCUCGUCACUGCUUUGAUUUACAGCAUCUGGGAUAGUUAAACUGGAGCAGCUUCCAUUUCUCCCCAGGCCCCACUUCCUAUCACAUAUCUCUGCCUGGACAUCCCCUGGGCAUAGCCAACUGAAAUGUGUGUAAAGUGUCCAUUGCCUUCUCCUACCACAAAUCUGCCAUCUAAGCCCACCCCUCCCUAGUUCAUGUGAUUUCCAUGCGUGUCACCAUGCAUGCUCCCAUCUCCAACUUAACACCUUAUACUCACCCUCUGUUCCAUGCAUUCCUCCUUUACCACAUUCACCAGGUUACCAGGUUAAUUCUGACUCCACUUCCUAAACUCCACUAAGAUCCAUUCCCUGUCCUCAGUGUCCACUGCCAUUAUUUUAGCCGUGGUCUUCCUUAUCUCUGCUUCCUGUCUCUCUAAGCCAGCUUCCAUCUGGCCUUUAGUUCUCUCUCCAAACACAAAUCUGACCAUACCCUUUUCCAGCUUAAAAACCAAAAUGACAUCUUACUGCUACAGAAAGAGCUCACUGUUCUUAGUAUAGUAGCAUGAUCCCUAUUACUAGCAGUUCCCCCCAACCUGCCCUGCACCUUGCAUAUACUUUCCUCUGCCUGAAAAACCCUUUUCCUGGGAAUAAUUUCAACACCCUGCUCAUUGAUCACUUCUGCAGUGUUGACUUCCCAGGUAAUUCCUGGGGGGAGAUUAUCCCUCCCUCCUUUGGAUCAUUUCAGUGUCCUGCAACCACUGCUCUUAUGAUGUGUAUUAUUCUGUUUCUGUAUCUGUCUCAUUUACACCAGAUUUUGGUUCUUCAAAAGCAGAAACUGUCUCAUGGUCUUUGGACUUCAAGGUCCUGGCAUACUGUCUGGCCCACAGUAGGUACAGUAACUGUCGAAUGAAUGGAUGGGAUGGAUGUACAUCUCUCUUUGUUGAAAUAAGAAGCUUAGCUUGUUAAAUGUUCAUUAUUCUCUUGGUUUUAGUCUUUAGGGAAAAGGGCAGAAGUCAUCCCCUUUAUUCCACAGUCAAAAUACUGACAAAUUUGGGAAGCUGGAGAAACAUCUAUUUCUUUCCUAAAAAUUGUAUCUGGGGUGGGGAUGGGGAGCCAGAAUUUCAGAGAAAAUGAAGAACUUGGUCAGAUUUUCCAGCACGGCUGCCUGCAUCACCCAGUACUGAGCAGGGAAGUCAUAGCAGCCUAGGAGGUUGACUCAUGCUAAGGCUAAUACCCUUGCUGAGUUCUUUCGGUGGACCUUACAAACCAUUUGUAAAAUGGUUAGAAACACGAUGCAUCCAUACUACUUUUAGGUCCUGCUCCUUAUAACUCAUGGCUCUCCCACUAUCCAACAGGACUUCAGAAAGAGGGGUCUUAAAACUAGCUUUGGAUUCUUAUAAACUUUAGUUGAUUGAAGGAAAUGCAACAGCUUUGGAAGGAAGGUGCUUCUGAGAUGCUCGAGUGCCCUGUCCACACUCCCCAGCCCCCUAGUUGUACGGAAUCCGUGGAGCAGUCUGCAAGGUAGCUAAGGUGCUGGCUGCCGGCAUUCCCUGGGAAAUUCGAGCUGUGCUCGUCUGUUUUGGUUUCCCUUUCAGUUAGGCAGGGCUGGUGUUCCCACUAGCUAAUGUCUAUAGUUUAUUUAACUCUAUUAUUUCAUAGGUAUUCCUGUGAAGCUCUUCGAAAUACUAGAGAAACAUUUUUUCUAUGUCCUCAAUGCUAGCUUCAUGGGAUGGGUGGGGAGCUGAGAGGGGGACUGUUUAUAGAGAGUCAAAGAAACUGGGAAGCAAUCUGUGUCACCGAAAACCGCCUGGAGGCUCAGGGAAUAGCAGGCAGGUUCCCAUUCCAGCCCUGGCUCCAGGCCAUAUUUUCGUUUCCGCCAGUUUCUUAGCCUCAUUGAAAAUUUGGCUUCACUUAGAAUAAUUUAGAAACAUAUAAGCCUCGGACGGUUUUCGGAGGGUUUCAGGCCUUGACUUUUUCAGCAGUAAACAAAAAUGUUCCUCUGUCCCUUUAGACCGCUGCUAUCCGCAGCCGUUUUCGACUGGGUGGGAGGGCUCCACCGAGCCCCCGGGACCCCGCGGGGACGCGGCCCCCAGCAGAGGUAAGGCUGCGGAGAAUCCUCGCACGAAAGGGAAACAGACUAGGACUGAAGUUGCAGAGGGGCAAGAGGCUUCCGAGAAACGGUCCUUCAUCUCACCGACCCCUGGGGCUGGUCCCUCCCUGCUGAAGGAAGAAUAAAGAUAUUUGAAGGUAGUCAAGAGGUUAGUGGGCUCUAGAUGGAGUGAAAUGGAGCAUUAACAUCUAAUUAAGAAAAAAAAAAGAAGCCCAAAUAAGCAGAUUGGUGAACAGAGACUGAAAAUUUGAGUGGCCACCUCCUACAAACUUCAGCACCUGCCCAACUCAGUUUCACAUCAGUGAGAUGGGGACAAAAGUGCCCCGUUUCAGACAGGUUGGCUCACACUAUUGACCAGCAUCGACCUGCCUGCA